AUUCCACCAUAGGGAACGCUCGUGAAACGAACACAACUGGCCUGAUAUAAAGCCCUGUUCACAUAUAAAUCAAUCCACUUAUCUCAAGCCGAUUUUUGAUUGUACCAACUUGUCUAAUAACCUUUCAAAGGUUCAUAGUAACUCAUUCUUCCUCAUAACACAUAAGUACAACCAUCAUAACCGGAGCAACCUCCUCCAUUCAUGACCCAAUAAACAAAUUGCCCUCCAGGCCUAAAUUCUCAAAUUAAUAAUAUUACUACCAUUCU
rnacentral:lncRNA from 1 species